rnacentral:rRNA from 1 species
GCAAGUCUGGUGCCAGCAGCCGCGGUAAUUCCAGCUCCAAGAGCGUAUAUUAAAGUUGUUGCAGUUAAAAAGCUCGUAGUUGAAUUUUGGGGUGGCCCAGGAGGUCCACUUAUUUGUGAGUACUUUUUGGGACUGCCCUUCCAUGGCAACCUCUUUUUGGAGGGGGCCAUAAUUACUUUGAGUAAAUGAGAGUGUUCAAAGCAGGCAAGCGCUUGAAUCUUUUAGCAUGGAAUAAUAAAAUAGGACGAUGAUUCUAUUUUGUUGGUUUCUAGGACCAUCGUAAUGAUUAAUAGGGACGGUCGGGGGCAUUAGUAUUCAGUUGUAAGAGGUGAAAUUCUUAGAUUUUCUGAAGACUAACUACUGCGAAAGCAUUUGUCAAGGACGUUUUCAUUAAUCAAGAACGAAAGUUAGGGGAUCGAAGAUGAUCAGAUACCGUCGUAGUCUUAACCAUAAACUAUGCCGACUAGGGAUUGGGCGACGCCUCAUGUAUAUGACGCGCCCAGCACCUUACGAGAAAUCAAAGUUUUUGGGUUCUGGGGGGAGUAUGGUCGCAAGGCUGAAACUUAAAGGAAUUGACGGAAGGGCACCACCAGGAGUGGAGCCUGCGGCUUAAUUUGACUCAACACGGGGAAACUCACCAGGUCCAGACACAAUAAGGAUUGACAGAUUGAGAGCUCUUUCUUGAUUUUGUGGGUGGUGGUGCAUGGCCGUUCUUAGUUGGUGGAGUGAUUUGUCUGCUUAAUUGCGAUAACGAACGAGACCUUAGCUUUUAUUUGCGCAAGCUAACCUUAUGUUGGUUUUGGGCUAUAAAAGGACUAUCGAAUUCAAGUCGAUGGAAGUUUGAGGCAAUAACAGGUCUGUGAUGCCCUUAGACGUUCUGGGCCGCACGCGCGCUACACUGACGGAGCCAGCGAGUUUACCUUAGCCGAGAGGUUUGGGAAAUCUUGAGAAACUCCGUCGUGCUGGGGAUAGAGCAUUGUAAUUUUUGCUCUUCAACGAGGAAUUCCUAGUAAGCGCAAGUCAUCAGCUUGCGUUGAUUACGUCCCUGCCCUUUGUACACACCGCCCGUCGCUACUACCGAUUGAAUGGCUUAGUGAGGCCUCUGGAUUAAGUUUGGGAGUGGGGCAACCCAUUGCUAAGCUGAGAAACUGGUCAAACUUGGUCAUUUAGAGGAAGUAAAAGUCGUAACAAGGUUUCCGUAGGUGAACCUGCGGAAG